rnacentral:rRNA from 1 species
CCUACGGGGGGCAGCAGUGGGGAAUAUUGCACAAUGGGCGCAAGCCUGAUGCAGCCAUGCCGCGUGUGUGAAGAAGGCCUUCGGGUUGUAAAGCACUUUCAGCGGGGAGGAAGGCGUUAAGGUUAAUAACCUUGGCGAUUGACGUUACCCGCAGAAGAAGCACCGGCUAACUCCGUGCCAGCAGCCGCGGUAAUACGGAGGGUGCAAGCGUUAAUCGGAAUUACUGGGCGUAAAGCGCACGCAGGCGGUCUGUCAAGUCGGAUGUGAAAUCCCCGGGCUCAACCUGGGAACUGCAUUCGAAACUGGCAGGCUAGAGUCUUGUAGAGGGGGGUAGAAUUCCAGGUGUAGCGGUGAAAUGCGUAGAGAUCUGGAGGAAUACCGGUGGCGAAGGCGGCCCCCUGGACAAAGACUGACGCUCAGGUGCGAAAGCGUGGGGAGCAAACAGGAUUAAACCCCUGUAGUC